UACGUAGGGUGCAAGCGUUGUCCGGAAUUAUUGGGCGUAAAGAGCUCGUAGGCGGUUUGUCGCGUCGGCUGUGAAAACUCGGGGCUCAACCCCGAGCCUGCAGUCGAUACGGGCAGACUAGAGUGCUGUAGGGGAGACUGGAAUUCCGGGUGUAGUGGUGAAAUGCGUAGAGAUCCGGAGGAACACCAGUGGCGAAGGCGACACGCUGGGCCGUACCUGACACUGAACCGCGACAGCAUGGGGAGCAAACAGG
rnacentral:rRNA from 1 species